GAUGAACGCUGGCGGCGUGCUUAACACAUGCAAGUCGAACGGAAAGGCUCCUGCUUGCAGGGGUACUCGAGUGGGGAACGGGUGAGUAACACGUGGGUGAUCUGCCCUGCACUUCGGGAUAAGCCUUGGAAACUGGGGCUAAUACCGGAUAGGACGAUGGUUUGGAUGCCAUUGUGGAAAGUUUUUCGGUGUGGGAUGAGCUCGCGGCCUAUCAGCUUGUUGGUGGGGUAAUGGCCUACCAAGGCGUCGACGGGUAGCCGGCCUGAGAGGGUGUACGGCCACAUUGGGACUGAGAUACGGCCCAGACUCGUACGGGAGGCAGCAGUGGGGAAUAUUGCACAAUGGGCGCAAGCCUGAUGCAGCGACGCCGCGUGGGGGAUGACGGCCUUCGGGUUGUAAACUCCUUUCGCUAGGGACGAAGCGCAAGUGACGGUACCUGGAGAAGAAGCACCGGCUAACUACGUG
rnacentral:rRNA from 1 species